AUAAGAGUGCUAUUAGUACCGAAGAAAGUAACUGGGAAACCUUAAUUUGUUACCGAGGAAAAAGCUAAAACAUAUCUUUAUCAAUAAAAGUUUGCUUUUUAACCUUGGUCGAAAAUUAGAUCAAGGUUUUUCUUAUUUAUU
rfam:Entomoplasmatales bacterium EntAcro1 contig_8, whole genome shotgun sequence.